rnacentral:rRNA from 1 species
UAUGGGGCAAGCGUUAUCCGGAUUUACUGGGUGUAAAGGGAGCGCAGGCGGCUUGGCAAGUCUGAUGUGAAAGGCUGGGGCUUAACCAUGGAACUGCUUUGGAAACUAUGAGGCUAGAGUGCUGGAGAGGUAAGCGGAAUUCCUAGUGUAGCGGUGAAAUGCGUAGAUAUUAGGAGGAACACCAGUGGCGAAGGCGGCUUACUGGACAGAAACUGACGUUGAGGCUCGAAAGCGUGGGGAGCA